rnacentral:rRNA from 1 species
GAUGAACGCUAGCGGCAGGCUUAAUACAUGCAAGUCGAGGGGCAGCAUGAUGUAGCAAUACAUUGAUGGCGACCGGCAAACGGGUGCGGAACACGUACACAACCUUCCUACAAGUGGGGAAUAGCCCCGAGAAAUUUGGAUUAAUACCCCGUAACAUAUAGAGAUGGCAUCAUUUUUAUAUUAUAGCUACGGCGCUUGUUGAUGGGUGUGCGGCUGAUUAGAUAGUUGGCGGGGUAACGGCCCACCAAGUCUACGAUCAGUAGCUGAUGUGAGAGCAUGAUCAGCCACACGGGAACUGAGACACGGGCCCGACUCCUACGGGAGGCAGCAGUAAGGAAUAUUGGUCAAUGGACGCAAGUCUGAACCAGCCAUGCCGCGUGAAGGAUUAAGGUCCUCUGGAUUGUAAACUUCUUUUAUCUGGGACGAAAAAAGGCCUUUCUAGGUCACUUGACGGUACCAGAUGAAUAAGCACCGGCUAACUCCGUGCCAGCCGCCGCUGUAAAAC